GAUGAACGCUGGCGGCGUGCUUAACACAUGCAAGUCGAACGAUGAAGCCCAGCUUGCUGGGUGGAUUAGUGGCGAACGGGUGAGUAAAACGUGAGUAACAUGCCCUUAACUCUGGGAUAAGCCUGGGAAACUGGGUCUAAUACAGGAUAGGAGAGUCCACCGCACGGUGGGUGGUGGUAAGAUUUGUCGGUUUUGGAUGGACUCGCGGCCUAUCAGCUUGUUGGUGAGGUAGUGGCUCACCAAGGCGACGACGGGUAGCCGGCCUGAGAGGGUGACCGGCCACACUGGGACUGAGACACGGCCCAGACUCCUACGGGAGGCAGCAGUGGGGAAUAUUGCACAAUGGGCGCAAGCCUGAUGCAGCGACGCCGCGUGAGGGAUGACGGCCUUCGGGUUGUAAACCUCUUUCAGUAGUGAAGAAGCGAAAGUGACGGUACCUGCAGAAGAAGCACCGGCUAACUACGUG
rnacentral:rRNA from 1 species